rnacentral:rRNA from 1 species
AAAACGACUCUCGGCAACGGAUAUCUAGGCUCUCGCAUCGAUGAAGAACGUAGCGAAAUGUGAUACUUGGUGUGAAUUGCAGAAUCCCGCGAAUCAUCGAGCUUUUGAACGCAAGUUGCGCCCGAAGUCUUUCGGCCGAGGGCACGUCUGCCUGGGUGUCACGC